rnacentral:piRNA from 1 species
UCUGAUGUCACCUCCAACAAAUAUUGCC